ensembl:lncRNA
GCUGGAUGGCAGCGAAAAACCCUUCCGAAGGCCUCAUUAGGUUUGCCGUUGCCGUGUAUUUUUUUGCCUCCAGGAAGGGGUGGUCCUCACUUGUGGCGUAGCUGUGGUCCUGAUGUCUGGCACCCAACAACAGCACCUCACAGUGUGGACAGGCCUGAACAAUUUCCUCCUUUUGAAGGACCCGGACAAGCCAGCCAGCAACGUAGAACAGGCCCUCCUCCUGGAUGCAAUCGCCAACAGUCUACAAUUGUGCCCUAAUGAAGUUCCGGCAGCCCUCAGGACACCUCUGGAGCCUCUCCUCCAUAAUUUCAUGGGGACUACGAAAGAACAAG